CACGUAGUUAGCCGUGGCUUCCUCGUAAGAUACCAUCACUUAAUGGUCAUUUCCUAUCAUUACCGUUUUUCUCUUACAACAGAGCUUUACGACCCGAAGGCCUUCUUCACUCACGCGGCAUUGCUCGUUCAGGGUUUCCCCCAUUGACGAAAAUUCCCUACUGCUGCCUCCCGUAGGAGUUUGGGCCGUGUCUCAGUCCCAAUGUGGCCGUCUACCCUCUCAGGCCGGCUACGUAUCAUCGCUUUGGUGGGCCGUUACCCCGCCAACUGGCUAAUACGCCGCAGGUCCAUCCAUGUCCGCACCCGAAGGUCCUUUAAUAUAGCCAAGAUGCCUUGUCUAUACCUAUCCGGUUUUAGCAGACGUUUCCAUCUGUUAUCCCGGGUACAUGGGCAGGUUCCCUACGUGUUACUCACCCGUUCGCCACUAAGUCUGUCAAAAGCAAGCUUUCAACAGUCUUCGUUCGACUUGCAUGUAUUAGGCAUGCCGCCAGCGUUCAUCCUGAGCCAGGAUCAAACUCU
rnacentral:rRNA from 1 species